CUCAACAGGAGUCUCAAAGCUCCCGUUUUCGUUCCUGGGAGUUCUCCCCACUCCACAGCGAGUCUGAGCGGCUUCAGCUUCCUCCUGAGAGAGCCCCUGCCGUGAACAGAGCUUGUCCCAACAGAACACAGCUGGGACGUCUGACCCUCCUAGUUUCCCUUGGUUUCAUUUGUUCUGAAGUCCCAGCUAAUGCUGACUUUUACAUCUCCUCCUUAGAAUCCUUUUAUUUCAGCGUCCUUUAUUUACUCCAUUCUGUUCAUCUUUUUCAAUAGCAGAGCACAGAGUGUUCCGGAAGCUCUCUCAUCUUUUCUUUAAGCACUAGACCUACUUACAUUCGUGAGUCCCAAGGACGGACGACAGCAGCACCUGCCACCACGGGCCUUGGAAGGGUCGGCUCUCAGGACCCGUUCCUCCGCCAGAGCAGCUGAACUGGAUUCCCAGAACAGGUUUUCCCAGAUUACUCUGCAGUCGGUAGACAAGGCAGGGAUUUUUAAUUGCGGUGUCUGCUCCCUGGCUCCCAUCUUCCUCCCGUGGCUGCAGUCCCAUUGGAGACAUGGCUGCAAUGCCCAGAUGACCCCUCAGGACCAGAAGACCUGCUCCCUCAGCUGAUGGGCAGUUUCCAGGGGUUGCCUCAUCCAAGGUCGUGCCCCACUUCCUGAGGCAACCUGCACGCAGUGGCCAGCCAAUACCGGUGUGCACCGACCAGCCCCUGGCCCCAGCGAGCACCAGCCCUACAGGGCCCUCUCAGCCUCAGAGCUCCCGCGGGUUCAGCCAAGGUCUCGUUGUGACUUCACCCAGCUCAGCGCCUCCCUUCCGACAGGGUGGACCCUGGGGACCCCCCGCUAACUCACCCCCAGCUGGCAAACCGCUCCCGCAGUUGGCUUUCUGGAGAACCCACUGGGCAAGAGCAAAGCUGUCUCGUCUCAGACUCCGGUGCGGGGGAGAAAGUUAGUGUGACAGCACACAGCACACACUGGCCUAGAACCCCUCUCCGAACUCUUUUUCUCUCCGCAGCCUCUCUGGACAUGGUGCCUAAUAAAUAUUUAUUGUUGAUUUUGACUUGUAAGAAAAGCAUAUUUUACUUUCAUUACAGGAAACUCAAAAGAUUAAGGAUUUUUUUGAUCAUCCUUGAGUUCCCCUUAAUAAUCAGUUUG
rnacentral:lncRNA from 1 species